GCCGGGUGCAGUGGUGCAUGCCUGUAAUCCCAGUGGCUCAGGAGGCUGAGGCAGGAGGAUCGUGAGUUCAAAGCCAGCCUCUGCAAUAGCGAGGCACUAAGCAGCUCAGUGAGACCCUGUCUCUA
rnacentral:sRNA from 1 species